UUGGGUUAGUGGCGGACGGGUGAGUAACGCGUGGAUAACCUGCCGUAUACAGGGGGAUAACACUUAGAAAUAGGUGCUAAUACCGCAUAAGCGCACGGUUCCGCAUGGAACAGUGUGAAAAACUCCGGUGGUAUACGAUGGAUCCGCGUCUGAUUAGCCAGUUGGCGGGGUAACGGCCCACCAAAGCGACGAUCAGUAGCCGGCCUGAGAGGGUGAACGGCCACAUUGGGACUGAGACACGGCCCAAACUCCUACGGGAGGCAGCAG
rnacentral:rRNA from 1 species